rnacentral:tRNA from 1 species
AGAAAUUUAGGUUAAUUAGACCAAAAGCCUUCAAAGCUUUGAGCAAGAGUGGAAACCUCCUAAUUUCUG